ACACCGGCAGCUCAAGUGGUAGCCGCUUUUAUUGGGCCUAAAGCGUCCGUAGCCGGUCUGAUAAGUCUCUGGUGAAAUCCCACAGCUUAACUGUGGGAAUUGCUGGAGAUACUAUCAUGACUCGAGGUCGGGAGAGGCUGGAGGUACUCCCAGGGUAGGGGUGAAAUCCUGUAAUCCUGGGAGGACCACCUGUGGCGAAGGCGUCCAGCUGGAACGAACCUGACGGUGAGGGACGAAAGCCAGGGGCGCGAACCGGAUUAGAUACCCGGGUAGUCCUGGCCGUAAACGAUGUGGACUUGGUGUUGGGAUGGCCUCGAGCUGCCCCAGUGCCGAAGGGAAGCUGUUAAGUCCACCGCCUGGGAAGUACGGUCGCAAGACUGAAACUCAAAUGAAUUGACGGGG
rnacentral:rRNA from 1 species